ACUUUAAGAACAAGCUGUAACCGAGCCUUUUGAUCACAUCUAGUCUAUAAGCCAAUUCAUAUAUGAAUUCCUGUGCUGGUUGCUUCUGAUAGCCAGUUUCUAACUGCUGGGGAAAGGAGUGGACAUUUGACAGUUGUUUCCAAAUCAGGAUAUCAAGGAGUGACCAGCAAGACUCAAACAUCAAUGCCCAAGCUGGAGGACAGCAGGUCCCAGAAGCCAGGAGCGGAUAUAGCACAAGUGAAAAUUCUACAGCACGGCAGCUCUGCGCCGGGCCAGAGCACUGUGGGCACCUGGGAGUUCUGUUCAGGGUGCUCAGAGACUCAGAGAUUGAAGGGGACAGAACCAGAAGCAACCAGGAGAGGCUGUCACAUGAGCUAGGUGAGUCAGAAUGCUCUGAAUCAACACGGCACCGUGGGGAUGAAAAGGAGGCAGGUUUCGACAAGCGAUGGAGGUGCAUCCCCGAGACGGGAGAUGACUGGACGUGGGGGUUAUGAAAAGGACACUGGUGGACAGAGGGAGCCAUUCACACAGUCAAGGUGCCAAGCAGCUGACUAUGUGUGUGUGUGUGUGUGUGUGUGUGUGUGUGAGUGCACGCGUGCAUGUGUAUAUAUAUAUAUAUAUAUAUAUAUAAUCAUGGGCAGUUUUUCAAGCACCAUUAAAGGACGGCUAUAUGAAAUCA
rnacentral:lncRNA from 1 species